rnacentral:rRNA from 1 species
UACAGAGGGGGCAAGCGUUAUUCGGAAUUAUUGGGCGUAAAGGGCGCGUAGGCGGUUUUUUAAGUCGGAUGUGCAAUCCCUGGGCUCAACCCAGGAACUGCAUUUGUGACUGCAAGGCUAGAGUACGGCAGAGGGGGGUAGAAUUCCACGUGUAGCAGUGAAAUGCGUAGAUAUGUGGAGGAAUACCGAUGGCGAAGGCAGCCCCCUGGGUCGAUACUGACGCUCAUGCACGAAAGCGUGGGGAGCAAACAGG